CACGUAGGGGGCGAGCGUUGUCCGGAUUUAUUGGGCGUAAAGAGCUCGUAGGUGGCUCGGUAAGUCGGGUGUGAAAUUUCGAGGCUCAACCUCGAGACGCCACCUGAUACUGCUGUGGCUAGAGUCCGGUAGGGGAGCGUGGAAUUCCUGGUGUAGCGGUGAAAUGCGCAGAUAUCAGGAGGAACACCAGCGGCGAAGGCGGUGCUCUGGGCCGGAACUGACGCUGAGGAGCGAAAGCGUGGGGAGCGAACAGG
rnacentral:rRNA from 1 species